UGCAUCGGCCGGGAAUCGAACCCUGGCCGCCCGCGUGGCAGGCGUGCAUUCUACCACUGAACCACCGAUGC
rnacentral:tRNA from 1 species